GCAGCUCACCUGCAAAUCCUCCAGAACUCCUUCUCUUGUCUAAAGGAGUAACAUCAGCAGAGUCUGUUCUGUAUAUGAAUAACCUGAUGAAAAACAGGCAAAAAGUGACCAUGCAUGUAAAAGGAUUUUCUGGGGAUCAGAGAGAGAAAAUUCUGGUAUGCUGAGCUGAGAAAAAGCUUUGUGUUGCUUUUCUGUCAUCCAUCCAUCAUGAUCUCUAGCUUCAAAGCCCAGGUGUUGCAGGAGGACUGGAACUUUCAGUUGAAAAGGGUUUAAUGUGGACAAAAGUACAAGCAAUCUUAUCAGCAGUCUUCUUUACAGUUCCAUGAUUACUGAAAUGCCUCGUAUAAAAGGAAUCUGUACAAGAAAGCCAGAAGGAUUUUGUUCCUUUAUUCACAUCUGGAUUAUGAUGUCUUCGUCUGUGGCAUGAACAGAUAAUUAUUUAAAAAUUAGUGUUAUCUUGGAACAAACUCUCUCUGAGGUACCUUCUUGUGGGAAGGGAAGAUUAAGGUCUUUGCAGUCCUCUGACUAUCAAGAAUAUAAAAGCCUUCUCUUUUCCUCAAGUGAGGGACAAGGCCCUUCCAAACUAGGCAAGUUUUUAUGCUGCUUUUUAAUUUUAUCACUCCUUGUGAAUUAUGAGGAUGUACAGAAGAAAGGGAAAGUGACGUAUAAGAAAGUGAGGAAAACAACUGUUUUGUGUUUCAAGUUUCAACUUGUGUUUCAAGUAACUUUCUUAGAACAGUUGUUCACUGUCUCUCUGAAAGUUUCAAUGAUGAAACACUUUUUACAUUCCUACCAAAGGCUUACUUAGGGGAAGG
rnacentral:lncRNA from 1 species